GGAAGACCAACAAUAAACAAUUUACCUUCCUUGUAUGUUGUUUAGCAGGGGUGAACUAACAGCAGAAAGUCCCAUGAAUUCCAGACAACAUGAGACUAACAACAACGGCAAAAUAAAUUGGAGUCCAAUCCUAGAUUGGGACGAGCCUCUGACAGACCAAGAACUUGAAGCCAUUGAUGCAAUCGAAGCCUCAUUUCAAUCCUCCACACCAUCUUCAUCUUCAUCAUCAUCAACUCCUGCUGCAACAACUCCUUCCUCUUCUAUAAUCAACAAACGACAUUCAAGUCCACAAAAGGAUCAAGAACCUCCAAAAACCCGACGCCAAUUGCCCAAUUCUAUUUUCUCUCUCUCCAAACCUUUUUCUCUUUCUCCUUGUCAAGGUAAUGUGAAGAUGAGAUACCCGGCAAUGAAGUUUGGGGGUCAAAUUUUGUAUAGCAGAACUUCUAUAGAGGUUGAAAAAGCUGCAAGGGAGCUUUUACAGAGUCUUGAAGCUGAAAAGAGAGAAAGAGAUCGAGUUGUCAUUGGUUUUGAUAUUGAGUGGAAGCCCUCAUUUACAACAGGCGUGUUGCCUGGAAAGGCUGCAGUUAUGCAGAUAUGUGCGAACACUAGUCUUUGUCAUGUGAUGCAUAUUUUUCAUUCUGGAAUCACUCAAAGCCUGCAGUUUCUUCUAGAGGAUUCUAAACUUGUAAAAGUUGGAAUUGGCAUAGGUGGUGACUGUGCUAAGGUUUUCAGAGAUUAUAAUGUCUCAGUUAAAUCAGUGGAGGACCUUUCUUAUCUUGCAAAUCAAAAGCUUGAUGGAAAACCUAAAACAUGGGGUCUUCAAGCUCUGGCAAAGAUUCUUGUUUGCAAAGAGCUUCAAAAGCCCAACAAAAUCAGACUUGGAAACUGGCAAGUUGAUGUUCUAUCAAAAGAACAACUACAAUAUGCUGCUACUGAUGCUUUUGCUUCUUGGCAACUAUACCAAGUGUUAAAGAGCCUCCCAGAUGCAAAGGAUGCUACUGACCCUACAAGUAAGGAACUGAAAGUUGAAUCAACAUGAUGUCUCAGUUAAUAAAGCUUAUUUCCUGGACUGACUGCAUCCUUCUGUCUUUACUUCAACUGGACGGGACCCCCAUCCGUGCCUAGCUGGGCCUUGGAGUGGAAAACUGAUGGAACAUAAGAUCCGAGACACUAUUUACGCACAUGUAUGAUAAUCGAUGAUGGAGGUAUUCUUCCGCAUAAAAACUCUGGCCAUAGCUUGGAAAGAUUACAAUAAAAGGAAGCGACAUGCAUGGGACACGAGGUGUUAUAUUCCCUCCUUGGACCUGCAAGUUACACAGUAGAAACUGUUUUCCAAAAGCAUAAUCUUUUAUAUCAUCAUUUGUCUUAAUCAUGCACCAUGGAUCCCCGAGUUUCCGAUUUGAAAUCAAAGGGGAAAUCCAACACCUCACAUGCCUAGUACAUGGUGUUAAUUAAAGAGACAAGAUUUUGGAAACCAUUCAUGUCCAUCUCCCCCUCUUGUUGUCCAGGGGCAGAAAUUAUAGUUAUAAAACCAUCAAAUUUAUCAGU